rnacentral:rRNA from 1 species
GAUGAACGCUGGCGGCGUGCCUAAUACAUGCAAGUCGAGCGAACGGACGAGUAUCUUGCUUCUCUGAUGUUAGCGGCGGACGGGUGAGUCACACGUGGAUUACCUACCUAUAAGACUUGGCUACCUUCGGGAAACCGUAGCUAAUACCGGAUACUCUUUUUAACCGCAUGGUUCAAAAGUGUAAGACGGUCUUGCUGUCACUUCUAGAUGUAUCCGCGCUGCAUUAGCUAGUUGGUAAGGUAACGGCUUACCAAGGCAACGAUGCAUAGCCGACCUGAGAGGGUGAACGGCCACACUGGAACUGAGAGACGGUCCUGACUCCGACGGGAGGCAGAAGUAGGGAAGCGUGGGAAAAGGGCGAAAGCCUGAAGGAGCAAUGCAGCGUGAGUGAAGAAGGGCUUCGGAUCGGAAAACUCUGUUAUGAGGGAAGAACAUAUGUGUAAAUAACUGUGCACAGCGUGACGGUACCUAAUCAGAAAGCCACGGCUAACUACGUG